rnacentral:sRNA from 12 species
AGCCUAAACUGUACCUUCGCGUACGGCACGGCUCAAAAAACCGAUGAGAGAUAAAGAGCUCCUAGUCAGAGCACUCUCAUCGGUCGUAUGGGGAAACUCAUACGGGUCCCGCAAGGGAUC